rnacentral:rRNA from 1 species
GGGGAAUUUUCCGCAAUGGGCGAAAGCCUGACGGAGCAACGCCGCGUGAGGGAGGAAGGUCUUUGGAUUGUAAACCUCUUUUCUCUAGGAAGAUAAUGACGGUACUAGAGGAAUAAGCAUCGGCUAACUUCGUGCCAGCAGCCGCGGUAAUACGAAGGAUGCAAGCGUUAUCCGGAAUUAUUGGGCGUAAAGCGUCCGUAGGCGGCAUUACAAGUCUGUUGUCAAAGAAUGGGGCUUAACCCCAUAUAGGCAAUGGAAACUGUGAAGCUAGAGUGCGAUAGGGGUAGGGGGAAUUCCCGGUGUAGCGGUGAAAUGCGUAGAUAUCGGGAAGAACACCAGUGACGAAAGUGCCUUACUGGGUCGUAACUGACGCUGAUGGACGAAAGCUAGGGGAGCGAAAGGGAUUAGAUACCCC